GCUUGGCUUAGUUAGGGGGCAUAAACUAAUUUGGAACCAAAUAUGGUCCUCGACCAAGGCUUUUUUUGUAGGACUCUUUGUUUCACCAUCAAUUGUUUCCCAAGCAGCUUUGGACAUUU